rnacentral:rRNA from 1 species
UACGUAGGGGGCUAGCGUUAUCCGGAAUUACUGGGCGUAAAGGGUGCGUAGGUGGUUUCUUAAGUCAGAGGUGAAAGGCUACGGCUCAACCGUAGUAAGCCUUUGAAACUGGGAAACUUGAGUGCAGGAGAGGAGAGUGGAACUCCAUGUGUAGCGGUGAAAUGCGUAGAUAUAUGGAAGAACACCAGUGGCGAAAGCGGCUCUCUGGUCUGUAACUGACGCUGAGGUUCGAAAGCGUGGGUAGCAAACAGG